GUUUCAGCAACUCCAUUCAUGAAAUUUCCUAUUUAGUUUCCUCACAUAUAUUCAGCAUUCUCAUCCAAAAUCCCAAUUGUGUUACUUUUCAAGUUUCAAACUUUUUCCUUCCUUUCUUGGCCCCUCAAAAUCUUUAGCUCUCAGCUAGUCUAGUAAAGAAUCCGUUGUUGAUCACUUGGCGCAGGCUAAUCUGUAAUUAGAUUUCAAAAUUUUGUAUUAAGGUACAAUCGAUACGAUAUUUGGCUGUGACAAUUUCGUUAAAUAAAUGAAUUUAAUAAAUAAUUAUACGGAAGUGUAAAACGGAAAUUAAUAACAGGCUGUACGUUGUUUGGCCAAGACACAAGCUAUUGCGAAAUACUCAAAAUCCAACUUUUGCCGAUUGAUGCCCUUCUAUCUGGAUUCUUCUUAAGACUAACAAACAUCAUAGAAUAACGCUCUCCUUUGAACAUUUCUGUAAUAAGAACUGUAAAAAAAAAAAAAUUAAUAUUAAAUUAAAUUGUUAUCAAAGUAAUAUUUAGAGAAAA